ACACCAUGGAAGCUGGCAACGCCCGAAGUCAUUACUCCAACCAUUCGUGGGGGAGGAUGCCUAAGGCAGUGCUGGUGACUGGGGUGAAGUCGUAACAAGGUAGCCGUACCGGAAGGUGUGGCUGGAUCACCUCCUUUUAGGGAGACCUACCCAACUUUGAAAUCGAGGACACACAGUUAAUAGAUACAAAGAUGGUCAUUCCUAGGUCGGUCGAGAUUGGUAAAUAGCUUUCAAAGUAUUAUUGGUUCAGUAAAUAAGGAGAAAAAUUCAGCAAAGUGACAUUAAUAAUGUCAGACUGCUGGGUUAGUUAUCCAGCCAGAACCUUGAAAACUGCAUAGGAAUGCGAAGCAGGCAGACACAGACAUUGAUUAUUGGAAGUGUUUGCAAUGAAUAGUGGUCAAGCUAAUAAGAGCUGACGGU
rnacentral:sRNA from 1 species